rnacentral:rRNA from 1 species
CCGUACCGCAAACCGACACAGGUAGUCGAGAAGAAUAUUCUAAGGUGCUCGAGAGAUUCAUGGCUAAGGAACUCGGCAAAAUAAACCUGUAACUUCGGGAGAAGGGUUGCCUCCUCUAGCAAUAGAGAGGUCGCAGAGAAAUGGCCCAGGCGACUGUUUAACAAAACCACAUGGCUAUGCGAAAUCGCAAGAUGAAGUAUAUGGCCUGACACCUGCCCGGUGCUGGAAGGUUAAGGGGGGAAGUUAGCAGCAAUGCGACGCUUUGAACUGAAGCCCCAGUAAACGGCGGCCGUAACUAUAACGGUCCUAAGGUAGCGAAAUUCCUUGUCGGGUAAGUUCCGACCUGCACGAAUGGUGUAACGAUCUGGGCGCUGUCUCAGCCAUGAGCUCGGUGAAAUUGUAGUAACGGUGAAGAUGCCGUUUACCCGUCACGGGACGGAAAGACCCCAUGAACCUUUACUAUAGCUUCACAUUGAUAUUGGGAAGAUGAUGUGUAGGAUAGGCGGGAGGCAAUGAUCUGGUGGCGCUAGCUAUCAGGGAGUCAACGGUGAAAUACCGCCCUUUAUUUUUCCGAUAUCUAACCACCGCAAGGUGGGACAUUGUGUGGUGGGUAGUUUGACUGGGGUGGUCGCCUCCGAAAGUGUAUCGGAGGCUUUCAAAGGUAUGCUCAGUACGCUUGGUAACCGUACGUGGAGUGCAUUAGCAUAAGCAUGCUUGACUGUGAGACAGACAAGUCGAUCAGGCGCGAAAGCGGGAUAAAGUGAUCCGGUGGUUCUGCAUGGAAGGGCCAUCGCUCAAAGGAUAAAAGGUACUCUGGGAUAACAGGCUGAUCUCCCCCAAGAGCUCAUAUCGACGGGGAGGUUUGGCACCUCGAUGUCGGCCCGUCACAUCCUGGGGCUGGAGAAGGUCCCAAGGGUUGGGCUGUUCGCCCAUUAAAGUGGCACGCGAGCUGGGUUCAGAACGUCGUGAGACAGUUCGGUCCCUAUCUGUGAUGGGCGCAGGAAGUUUGAGAGGCUCUGACCUUAGUACGAGAGGACCGGGUUGGAGCAACCGCUGGUGUACCGGUUGUCAUGUCAGUGGCACUGCCGGGUAGCUAUGUUGCGACGGAAUAAGCGCUGAAAGCAUCUAAGCGCGAAAUCCACCUCGAGAUGAGACUUCCUUAUAAGGGCCGUCGUAGACUACGACGUUGAUAGGCUGCAGGUGUAAAGUCAGAAAUGGCAAAGCCGAGCAGUACUAAUUACCU